UGGGAAUCUUGGACAAUGGGGCAACCCUGAUCCAGCAAUGCCGCGUGUGGGAUGAAGGCCUUCGGGUUGUAAACCACUUUUGGCGGGGCGAAAUAUCGAGUGCUAAUACCAUUCGGUGAUGACGGUACCCGCAGAAUAAGCACCGGCUAACUACGUGCCAGCAGCCGCGGUAAUACGUAGGGUGCAAGCGUUAAUCGGAAUUACUGGGCGUAAAGCGUGCGCAGGCGGUUAGGUAAGACAGGUGUGAAAUUCCCGGGCUCAACCUGGGAACUGCAUUUGUGACUGCCUGACUAGAGUGCGGCAGAGGGGAGUGGAAUUCCGCGUGUAGCAGUGAAAUGCGUAGAUAUGCGGAGGAACACCGAUGGCGAAGGCAACUCCCUGGGCCUGCACUGACGCUCAUGCACGAAAAGCGUGGGGAGCAAAACAGGAUUAGAUACCCUGGUAGUCCAACGCCCUAAAACGAUGUCGACUAGUUGUUGGACGGGUUACUGUUCAGUAACGAAGCUAACGCGUGAAGUCGACC
rnacentral:rRNA from 1 species